rfam:Coprinopsis cinerea okayama7#130 chromosome 13 cont3.13, whole genome shotgun sequence.
GGCGCUAUAGUGUAGUGGUUAUCACUCGGGAUUCUGAUCAUGCUUCCGAUUUCCCGAAACCCAGGUUCGAACCCUGGUAGCGCCU